CCUACGGGAGGCUGCAGUGAGGAAUAUUGGUCAAUGGACGCAAGUCUGAACCAGCCAAGUAGCGUGCAGGAUGACGGCCCUCCGGGUUGUAAACUGCUUUUAGUUGGGAAUAAAAGGGGGCUCGUGAGCCCCGUAUUGUAUGUACCAUCAGAAAAAGGACCGGCUAAUUCCGUGCCAGCAGCCGCGGUAAUACGGAGGCUGCGAGCGUUAUCCGGUGUUAUUGGGUUUACGGGGUGAGUAGGCGGAAUGCCAAGUCAGCGGGAAUCUCGCGGUGCUCAACCUCGCACCGCCGUUGACACUGGCGUUAUGGAGUGGGCGAGAAGUAUGCGGAAUGCGUGGUGUAGCGGUGAAAUGCAUAGAUAUCACGCAGAACUCCGAUUGCGAAGGCAGCAUACCGGCGCCCAACUGACGCUGAAGCACGAAAGCGUGGGUAUCGAACAGGAUUAGAUACCCGGGUAGUC
rnacentral:rRNA from 1 species